CAUGUGCAGCCCAAGACAAUGAGAACAUGUUCGUGGACAAAUGCUGAGAAGUUUGCCUGGUUUUUCCACAUGAUCCACACUGCAUUCCACGCCUUGUAUCAACCACCGCUUCCUCCUACUCCCCUUCCUCCCACUUCUUCGACAAGCGGAGAGAGAGGGAGAGAGUGAGAGAGAGAGCCAUGAGGCAGGAGCUCGGCAAGGCCUCGUCCAAUGCUCUGCCUGCAUCUAGAACAAGAAUCUCCGCAACGGAGUCCAGGAAUCCGAGAGCAGACUCCGCGAACAGGGCCUUGCCCCGUCCGAAGCCGGCUGCGAAGACGGUGAGCCGAAGCAGCGCCGACAGAGACAGAAGAGCUUCAGCAUUCGGCGGCGGGGGAGCUGGAGCUAAUGGCGACGCCGGGGUGGAAGAGUUGGAGAGGAGACUUGGUGAGCGCGAGAAGUUGCUGGGGGACUCGCGGGCAGAGGUGCUGGCGCUCAGAGCUCAGGUCGAGAAGUUGCAGGUUUUGAAUGCUGAAUUGGAGUUGGAGAACAAGAAUUUGGCUGAUGGCCUGACUGUUGCUGAAGCAAAGAUCAAAUCUUUGGAGCACAAGUGUGAUCAGGCAAAUUCAAUCACCAUAUCUGGUGUCGCUAGACUGCCGCCGCCGCCGCCGCCGCCACCUCCACCACCGCCACCACCAGCAGGGGUUCAGUGUGGCUUGGGAAGGGCGAAGACAGUGCACAAGGCUUCUGCACUAGUUGAACUGUACAAUUCAUUAACCAAGAGAGAUGGAAAGCAAGGCUCCAUGGCUACAGAUAUCGCGCGCAUCAGCAUUGUCGGGGAGCUUCGAAAUCGAUCGGCUUAUCUACUAGCUAUUAAAUCAGAUGUUGAAACAAAAGGGCACCUCAUCAAGCAUCUCAUAGAGAAGGUGCAAUCAGCCUCUUUCACUAAUAUGGAAGAAGCCCUAUCUUUCGUCGAUUGGUUUGAUGGGCAGCUUUCUACUUUGGCUGAUGAGAGUGCUGUUCUGAAGCAUUUUGACUGGCCUGAAAAGAAAGCCGAUGCUCUGAGAGAAGCAGCAUAUGAGUUCCGUGCUCUAAAGUCGCUCGAAGACGAAGCUUCUUGUUUCAAGGAUGAUGACUCCUUAGCAUGUGAGACCACCCUAAAAAGGAUUUCAAGCUUUCUAGUUAAGUUGGAGCGAAACACAAGUAGGUUGAUUAAGUUGAGAGCUACAAGUAUGCUUUUGUAUAGGGAGUGCAAAAUUCCAACAGAUUGGAUGCUUGAUUCCGGGAUGGUUAGCAAGAUGAAGCAAGUUUCUGUAAUGCUUGCAAAAGUCUACAUGAGGAAAGUGUCACUGGAGCUAGAAUCGACUCGACAUGCUGAAAGGGAAUCAGCACAGGAGGCACUUCUCUUUGAAGGGGUGCGUUUUGCUUAUCGAGCACAUCAGUUUGCAGGAGGUCUGGACUCGGAAACCAUGCUCAUCUUCGAGGAGUUAAAAACGCGAGUCGAAUCGCAAGGUAGAGGACAUUAGAUCGACCUGAUUCAAGUCUGAUAGUGAAAAGAGAAGUUGCAGAGGUUCCUCUGUGAGAACAAUCUUCAUCCAAUUUCAUAAACCAUCAACAAGGAUGAUAGCAUCUAUCCAAUCAAGAAUCAACCAAUUGAAGAUGAAGAGUGGUAGUCAUUUUAUUACACAAAGGCAAAAGAGGAAAUUUGAAGCUAAAACA